UACGGGGGGGGCAAGCGUUGUUCGGAAUUACUGGGCGUAAAGGGCUCGUAGGCGGCCAACUAAGUCGGAUGUGAAAUCCCCAGGCUUAACCUGGGAACUGCAUCCGAUACUGGAUGGCUUGAAUCCGGGAGAGGGAUGCAGAAUUCCAGGUGUAGCGGUGAAAUGCGUAGAUAUCUGGAGGAAUACCGGUGGCGGAGGCGGCAUCCUGGACCGGCAUUGACGCUGAGUGAGCGAAAGCCAGGGGAGCAAACGGG
rnacentral:rRNA from 1 species